GAUAUUUGGAGCUGAGAGCUUUGGGGGAGAAGUCAAUUUGGAGGAGGUCACAAGGGUGGGGCCACCAUGAUGAAUCAGUGCCCUCAUAAGAAGAGACACACCAGUCUGCUCACUCUCUCAUUCUCCCCUGCUCUCUCUCACUUCACUACGUGGCAGCCAGUGACAAGCUAAGUAAGAAGGGAGCCCUCACCAGAAAGAGACCAUGCUGGCACCUUGAUCUUGGACGUCCAGCCUCCAGAAAUGUGAGAAAAUGUGCGUAAGCCACUCAGCGGUGCUGUCCUAGGGCAGCCCACGUGGAUCACAGCACCUACUUUCUCAAUAAUACAGCCCCAUGCUACUGCUCAAGCUCCUCUGCUGUCUUCAAUAUAAAAGAUCCUGCUCCUAAGACAUCUGAAUUUCAUUGUUUAAACAAAAGAUUAAGAGAAGACAGGAAAAUCAGUUUUAUGGCACUAUAAUCUGGAAAUAGAACAAACCAUUCAUACGGAAGAUAAAAAGAGAACCCAGAAAAUAUAAAUGAGUUUCCAAAUUCAUACACCCAAUAAGUGGUAGAGUCAGAAUUCACACCAAUCAAUUCCAUCUGUCUCGAAAGCCAACGCGAGUGGUGGUGUAUUCAUACCACCAUAGUGGUAAUAAGCAAGCUGCUCCCCAAAGCCAACGUACCUUUCCACCAAGGUCGCAUCACUGCUAUUUUAACACCUUUGUUUUCCAGAUGAGUAAACUGAGCCCCAAGGAGUGAAAUAACUUCUCCAAGGUUACUCAGUGGGUUGCUGGCAGAGAGGUACACAAACCAAGUCCAGGGUCAUUUAAUCCAUUCAUUCCCAUAAAAUUUUGAACACAUUAAAGUGCACAAAAUGCAUAAGCUGAACAUCCACAAAUAUCUUUCCAUAAAACUGUAAAAUACAAGUUUAUAUUUAUUAAAUUUGUCUUGUGAAGAUCCUAAGUAGUCACGUUCUGAUACAUGUAAAGGGGAAGUUAGGGGCACCUGGCUGGCUUGGUCAGGGGAACACAUAACUCUUGGGAGUAGAGAUCAAUUAAGUAAAACUGCAAAAAGGUGCAGGGAGUGGAGAGAUUAAAAGUUUAUCCUAAUUUUUUUUUAAGAAUACUAUUUUUUUUAAGUGCUCCAGCUUGUUGGUUGGGGUUAGAGUGUGGGACAUUUUUCCUGUUACAUGGGUUUGUAUAUAAAUAGAACUUAAUGUUAAAUCCAGUAUCAUAAUUUGACUUUUAAAACUGUCCUACCUUCUGCUUUAUGAAAACAAAAAAAUAUAUAAUUGACCAAGAUGUAGAGGACCCAAUAAUCUAAUAGGUCACCCAUAGCUCCAAAACCGUAAGAAACACAAACUCAGUACAGAAAGUAAAGUUACCAGUAUUGCAGAAAGACAAUGAGGAAGACCAUUCCUUUUAAUCCUCCCAUCUUUAUUCAUCUAGCUUCUGUCUGAAAAGCAAUUAUUUGUCACAAAAGGGGAAAAAAAGCAUGUAUUUUUCUGGCAUAACUCUAUAAUAACCUAAAAAGUACUCCCCAAAACUCACUAUUUUUGAUUCUACUAUUUUACAGAGAUUCCUGAU
rnacentral:lncRNA from 1 species